CCUACGGGUGGCAGCAGUGGGGAAUAUUGGACAAUGGGCGAAAGCCUGAUCCAGCCAUGCCGCGUGUGUGAAGAAGGCCUUCGGGUUGUAAAGCACUUUCAGUGGGGAAGAAAGCCUUGGGGCUAAUACCCUCGAGGAAGGACAUCACCCACAGAAGAAGCACCGGCUAACUCCGUGCCAGCAGCCGCGGUAAUACGGAGGGUGCGAGCGUUAAUCGGAAUUACUGGGCGUAAAGCGCGCGUAGGCGGUCUGAUAAGCCGGUUGUGAAAGCCCCGGGCUCAACCUGGGAACGGCAUCCGGAACUGUCAGGCUAGAGUGCAGGAGAGGAAGGUAGAAUUCCCGGUGUAGCGGUGAAAUGCGUAGAGAUCGGGAGGAAUACCAGUGGCGAAGGCGGCCUUCUGGACUGACACUGACGCUGAGGUGCGAAAGCGUGGGUAGCAAACAGGAUUAGAUACCCCUUUAGUC
rnacentral:rRNA from 1 species